AGAUUUCAAAACGGAAUCAACAGCCAGACUUACUCACCCACUGGGAAAGAGGCGAUGGAGAUACUCUAAGGAUAUGUUCUCCGGAAGAUCACUCCUCAGGCAGCUGCGUGUGGAUAAAAGCUGGGCGAUUGCUAUGGAUUGCCGAGUGAUGAGACAUUGCAAGAACUGAACUGUUAAGACGAUUCUGCCUUUGUGGGAACGUCCCUGAGUGAUCCCACUUUAGGAAGACCCCAAAGGGGCAGCUCAGCUACUGAGGGUGAUCACUUGAUGCAAUCAAGAGACAUUGUGAACAUACGUGAGACGGAUCCAGUCGCAGCUGGCCUACUAUGGCAAAA
rnacentral:lncRNA from 1 species